CGGCCCAUCAGCUAGUUGGUGAGGUAACGGCUCACCAAGGCGACGACGGGUAGGGGGCCUGAGAGGGUGGCCCCCCCACACCGGAACUGCGACACGGUCCAG
rnacentral:rRNA from 1 species